GGUUUCGUGGUGUGGUGGUUAUCACGUUCGCUUUACACGCGAAAGGUCCCCGGUUUGAUCCCGGGCGGAACCA
rnacentral:tRNA from 1 species